CACGCCUCCCUUCUCCAGUCCGGACUGCCAGCGGAGGGGAAAAUGGGCGACAGGAGAAGGGGAGACAGGAACCCAGCAGAAGGGCUCUGCCACGGACCCGACACCUCCCACCUCCACAACUCUGCUUUCUCCCACUUGGGAAAAGCGAGGCUGACACCCACGGCAUCCCCUGCCCCAGGACAUAGACCUCACUCCCGAAGAAGCCGGGGACUGAAGUGCUGCAGCACCCGCUGCUCCUGGCCGGGCUGGAGCCUCUCUUCAGAAGGGCAGCAGCUCGCUUGUCACAGACCCUGGACUGCAGAAAAGCUGAUUCAGGGAUUUCCGGGCGGCUCCUCCUGUGGGGGAGUGUGCAUCUGCAUACCUGGGUGUUGGGAAGGGUGUGUGCGUGUGUUCAUGUGUGGGCUGGGGGAGAGGACACAUGCCUGAGCCCCUCUAGUCAGGUCUGCUGACCCCUCACUGUUCUUCAGAUGGAAAGGGGGACCUGGGGUAAAGGGCUCAAGGUCAGAUGCUCAGCAGGAGGGCACCAGGGGUUUCCCCCCACUCUGCUACACUCCCGUAACCUACCCCCACCUCGUCAUCCCACACUGAGGAGGGGACCUGUCACCUGAGAUGGGUGUGCGGGCUGAAGAGCAGUACCUGCUGCUCCUCUUCGGUUUCUCCCUGGGGAGAAAAGUGCUUCUGUUUUGAAAUCUCCCCCAAACCUUCUUUUGCUAGGACGAGGGAGGAUGGGACUCAAAUUUCAUUCAGCAGGCUGGAUUCAGGUUCGACUUUGGGGUUUCCUGAUGCUAAGGGUCUGGGGCAGCAUCCUGCUUGACAGGGAAAGCUUAUGCCUUCACGAUUGGAAUGUAGUGCUGCUUAGAUGAAAAGGGAUGGAUGAAAUGACCCCCAUGGUUCCUUCUGAUAAAAUGGACCAAGAGACGCCUGAGCCUUAUGCAAAGCUGCCUCCAGUAAAAUAAAGUCUAAUUACAGAAAAUAAAGC
rnacentral:lncRNA from 1 species